ACCACUUUCCUUUAUCCCAUAGCCCUGAAAUGAUCAUGUCUGGUCGAAAGGGCUCUAAUCCAAAAACCUUAAAAACCUCGGCGUUGCGAUCUGUUGUGUUGGAAACGUUCACUGCCCGCGUACCAGGGGUGCGUGGUGGUUGCGCGUAGUUUUGGGUGCUUAACAAAUAUUUAUCGCACUUUUCGAUUAGGUUGGGGCAUUUGCGCUUGUCUCUUUAUAGCCUCGGGUCUUCUGCGUUGAACCUUUGCCUGUAUUGUCAGUUGCCAGGCAUGGGUAAACUUCCAUCACGUAUGAAAGUGCACUGGGCACGUAAACUGUGGUUUUAAUGGGGGAGGAAGAAAUUUGAAAAGGCACAUGAACACUAAGCACAAAGGGUUGCCCAUUGUUCUUAAGAAUUCAUGUUUUAGUUCAGGUGGAACAUGGGAAUCUUGGCUCCAAGGAAUGAACAGUGGCACAGAUGGCAGAGAACAAUGCACCAACACUUUUGAGAUGCCAAGUAGGUCAUCCAGUCUAGCUUUGUCAUCAGUGUCUGCAGACCAGACUGGAGGUCCGUCCUAUCGUGGCGUUUUGUGCUGCCCUGGUCCGCAACUUGAAGGCAAGGAGAGAGGGAGCUGGCGCGGAUGGUGGAAGAAAAGGAACAGCAAACAAGGCGAUCCUGGACAACAUGCUCGAUGUCCGGUCGGCUGGUGACCUAAAGGGUUUCCAGACCUAACAAAAAUCAGUCGACGCCCAGCUGAGGCAUGACAAUGCCGCGAAGGAGCUCAGGAUUGGAUGGAAUGGUCCUGAGCUUGAUGGUGCCGAACAUCUCAUAAGAGCUGUUCAGAAGCGUCACCAGUUUGACUUCGUGAGGCAGUCUGUCAACGUGAAGCACGUGCUCACGGGAACGGUGAUUGCCCGACACAGAGCAUGCCGAUCAUAUCGCUCCUGCCUUUUCAAGUAGUUGAAGAGAAAAGGAGUGCUGGCAUCGUGAGUCAGCCCUUGGAUCAAAUUUUGCGUGCGCGGUUAACGUUCUGGAGCUCACGGCGAGUGCUGAAGCACUGUAGGCAGGGUUCUUAGGCUUUCGUUGUGUGCUGAACUGUACGCGGCGUAUUUGGCAUUUUGUACUGACACCAUGUCGACGCGAUUAUGUACGUACCCAGGGUGAAUUCAGUGUAAAUACAAAAAAUCGUCGCGAA
rnacentral:lncRNA from 1 species